GCAUAUCAAUAAGCGGAGGAAAAAGAAACCAACAGGGAUUGCCUCAGUAGCGGCGAAGCGAAGCGGCAACAGCUCAGAUUUGAAAUCUGGCCCCCCGCCGCGGGGGCCCGAGUUGUAAUCUGCAGAGGAAGCCUUCGGCGAGGCGGCGGCCUAAGUCCCCUGGAACGGGGCGCCACAGAGGGUGAGAGCCCCGUGAGGCCGCCCGCCCGAGCCAUUGUAAGGCCCCUUCGACGAGUCGAGUAGUUUGGGAAUGCUGCUCAAAAUGGGAGGUAUACUCCUUCUAAAGCUAAAUACAGGCCGGAGACCGAUAGCGCACAAGUAGCGUGAGCGAAAGAUGAAAAGCACUUUGGAAAGAGAGUGAAACAGCACGUGAAACUGUUGAGGGGGAAGCGCUCUCGGCCAGAACGUGCGCCGGGCGGAUCACCUGGGGCUCCGCCCCGGGGCACUCCGCCCGGCGCAGGCCAGCGUCGGUUCUCGCGGCGGGAUAAAGGUGCCGGGAAUGUGGCCCCCCACGGGGGGUGUUAUAGCCCGCGCGCGCAAUGCCGCCGCCGGGGACCGAGGUCCGCGCCCUCGUGGCUAGGACGCUGGCAUAAUGGCCGUCAGUGACCCGUCUUGAAACACGGACCAAGGAGUCAAGCAUUGCUGCGAGUGCUAGGGUGUCAAACCCGUGCGCGCAGUGAAAGCAAACGCAGGAGGGAGCCUCGGCGCACCUCCGACCGAUCCUGAUGUACUCGGAUGGAUUUGAGUAGGAGCAGUUAUGCUUGGACCCGAAAGAUGGUGAACUUUGCGUGGAUAGGGUGAAGCCAGAGGAAAACUCUGGUGGAGGCUCGCAGCGGUUCUGACGUGCAAAUCGAUCGUCAAAUCUGCGCAAGGGGGCGAAAGACCAAUCGAAACCAUCUAGUAGCUGGUUACCGACGA
rnacentral:rRNA from 1 species